rnacentral:lncRNA from 1 species
UUUUUCAAUAAUGUCAUAAAGCCUUGCAAGUGGAAUUUGGUUGUUGUGAAUCAUAAAAACAUGCAUGUGGUGUGUAAGGUGUGUAAGGUGUGUAAGUGUUACACACCCAUCACAAUUUCUAUCACCUUUCAAAAUAAAUGUUUUGGUGAUAGAAAAUUCACAUCAACCAACACAAAACAAAGACUUUAUGAAAUUAACCAAAACUUUGAAUCAAAACAUCAAACCUUAUGUUCUUGGCAAAAAUGUCAAGAACAAUGAAGAACACUCAUGAAAAACCCAAAAUUUUUCCAUGAACAUUUUUCACCCAAAAACAUUCCAAAACCAUUCAAACUUUAGGGAAAUAACAUCUAACCAAACUAGGGUACAUAGGGGUUCCAAAAGUCACCUUAAAACACUUUUAACAAGUCAAACAAGAACCCAAAAAUCCACCCUUUGGAUUUGGCCGAAUUUUCCCAAAAGC